CAUUUAGAAAAUGAUCUUCAACUGAGAACGGAUGAAAAAUUACUCUCCUUUGAAGCUUUGUUUAAGCGAAAAGGGGACAUUUCUGCACUACGUCACUUUGUAUUAAAUGGCAAAUGUCUCGAAUGUCUCGAAUCCUAAUAUGAGAAAUUAACGGUUUAACGGUUCUCCUUGAGUGAGGCCAUUCACCCAUGGACCUUGCUAGUCCCGCAUAACGUUAAUGCUUACUAGAGUCAGAGAGAGAGAGAGAGAGAGAGACUCUAAAAAUAAAUAUAAUCAUGAGAUCGAUAAUAAGCGAGUAUCAUGAGAGAAAGUUGAAAAUAACUCUGAAUAGGGAGUUAAAUAGUACGUGAAACUGCUUAGACGUUAAGCCCGAUGAUCCCGAAUAUCCCCUAUGGAAAAGUCCUUAUUAUGAAUUAUAUUAAUGGUCUACAUUUUUCCCAUACAAAGGGAUUGCAAUCUAGUGAUGUAAUCAUGUUGACGCUCAUUUUAAAAUCGCUGAACACUUCUUUUUUUUUUUUUUUCUGUUUUAUAACAUUAAGAAUCUAGGAUUGCUACAGAUGUCGUAUGCAUCUGCAAGCACACGCAUAGAAGUCAUUCACGUCAACGGGCUAACGUUAAAAUUGAUCAUUUAAUCAUUAGCGUUAAAGUUUAUUCAAAUUAUUAUUGAAUCUGUAUUUCGACACAGAUUGAUAGAUUUUUAACAAAAUUAAUUUAUUUGUUUAUACAGUGCUUAAAUAUAUUUACAUAUUUCAUAAUGACAUGUAAAUCAAUGGCUUUUAUGUUUAUUAUACGCACUUAUAUGAUUUACGAUGCGAAAGGUUCGUUCGAGAUGCCUUCGACACCCAUCUUGAAACACGGACCAAGGAUUCAGAAAAUAUUUCCAAGUUUUUAGGUUUUUUAAAAACCUUACAAAAUCAACAUGGGAUUAAUUUUUAGUUCUAACAUACAUACUUAAGACUAUUAAUUCAAGCUCUGGGCCUUCUACGCAGUUAUGUAUAAUAAUAUUUAUAUUUUUUAUGCAUCUAUCUAGAAUGUACUUUAAGCAUAUGUACGUAACUCUAAAAAUAGUAAACUCUACCUGAUGAGGUUGAAAUCAGUGAACAGACCAAUCGAACCAUCUAGUGGCUGAUCCGCUACGAAAUUUACCUCAGGAUAGUUGGUGCACUUAAAAGCUAUGUUGCAUAAUCUUAUCUGGGAAGGUGAAUGAUUAGAAGCCAUCUAUUCUCAAACGGUAAAUGUGUAAGAAACUCACCUUUCUUGGCCAGUGGGCCAUUUUUGGUAAGCAGAACUAGCAUUAUGAGACGAGUCAAAUUAGCAACUUAUGCGGAUACCAUGAAAGGUGUUGGUUGCUUAGAACAGCAGGACGGUGCACAUGAAAGUCGCAAUCCGCUGAGCAGUAUGUAACAACUGACCUGCCGAAGCAACUAGCCCUUAAAAUGAACAGCGCUCAAGUCGUACACCUAUACAUUAUCGUUUAAGUAAACGUUUGAAAUUCAAUUAAUUUGGAUUUGCAAACCUUAAAACCUUUGUGCGUGAGUACGAGAGUACUACGGCGAUCGUAGAAGUGUUUGGCAUAAGCCUACAUGGAGCCGCCACUAAUACAGAUAUUGAUGGAAGCAGCAAAUAAUCGAAUGAAAUGUUUGAUGACUAAAGUGAACAAGGGUUUCGUGUGAACAGUGGUUGAUCACGACUUAGUCGGUGCUAAGGUCACGGCGAAAGCUGAAAAUUUUCAAAUUAUAUUAAAAAUAUAUAUUUACAUACACAAAUAAUGUAUAAAAACACUUGAAAAUAAUUGAAAGAAAGGGAAUAGGGCUUCAAUUCCGAGACUUGUUGAAUAUCCGUUCGUUUGUUAAAUAUAAGCCUUGUGCUCGUCCUGGCAACAGUAACUGCCAUAUAUUAGCCAUCAGGAGAUAUCGAAAGAGUUUUCUUUUCUGUUUUAUAGUCCUACUAAGGAGGAAGUCUAUCGAAACGAUAUGAUAAAUCGGCUAAAAGGGUAUGACAUUUACUGUUGUGUUGAUAUUUUCUCCACGGGUCGUGAAAGUUUAUGACAGGACCAUCCAAACUUCUCAACAGAGUGUACCAAUAUUCACAGUUGAUCCCCAAAAUGAAGAGUCUCUAGUC
rnacentral:ncRNA from 1 species